UCCGUAGGUGAACCUGCGGAAGGAUCAUUAACGAACUCUCGAAGGACGCGGUCGCUGCUGGGCUUCUCAGAAGUCAACGUGCACACGCUCUUUCCUCUCGUUCAACCAAUCUACCCCUAUCUGUGCACCACUCGUAGGCUGAGAACUCUUAGCUUAUGUUCUUUCCACAAAGCAUCCUACUAUAAUCAGCGAAUGUCAGCCGUUCGAGCCUCGUCUCGACGGAGCAAUAUACACAACUUUCAACAACGGAUCUCUUGGCUCUCGCAUCGAUGAAGAACGCAGCGAAAUGCGAUAAGUAAUGUGAAUUGCAGAAUUCAGUGAAUCAUCGAAUCUUUGAACGCACCUUGCGCCCCUUGGUACUCCGAGAGGCAUGCCUGUUUGAGUGUCAUUGAACCAUCAACCUGAGUGGCUUUCGAGCUCUAUCAGAGUUUGGAGUUUGCGGCGUGCGGGGGGGAACGCUCUCGGGGCCCUCUCCGCUCCUCGCGGAAUACAUCAGCAGCUGUUCACUUGCGGUCCAGCCUUGGCGUGAUAACUGUCUUACGUCCUGGCUUGGGUCGCGUUUCCCUUGACUUCUGCUUCGAACAGUCCGCCCGUUCUAGCGACGGGGGGAUGGAAUGACAAAUU
rnacentral:rRNA from 1 species